AAGUUUAGAAGUAGGCGGACGUCCUUUUUUGGCAAAACUUUUGAAAGUUAAAUUAAUUUGAUAUUAUAGGAUCAGUUAAGUUGUAAGGUGUAUAUAUAAGUAGUUAGUGUUUAUUAUUUAUAGUUUUAGUUUUUUUCUCUUCACCUGGUAAGUCAUUUUAUUGUAUUAUAUGUAAAUAGAAUUUUUCUCUUGGCGUCCAUGUUGGAGCCCGAAGACCCUGGAGGGGCAUCCCUCCAGGUGUCUCAUGUAGUCACAAUAGAUGCGUCGGGAAUGGAAACGGAAAGUUCAAUUAUAGAUACGGACUGUUCGGAAAACACGAAAUCAAUUAAAAGAAAGAGAAUCUCAGAUAGAAAUCAAAGGAAGAGAAAAAAUCACAGAUAUAAGGGUCCAUCAGAUUCCCAAUACUCUCCCAAUGAUUUGAAGGAUAAUGUUAUUCCUAACAUGCUUGAGUCUAAUGAUAAAAACACCGAAAUCCACCAUAAUGAGGCUGUUCAGUCUAAUAAUAUCACAAGUAACCCUCGUUCUGCUCGGUCACUUUACCACGCGUCAGACCCUGCGCCUUAUGUUGUCCAUGUUCAAAAAAUCUUACUACCAAAUCAAACCGGAUCUAUUCACCCAGUACAAUUUGGAUUUUUCCUUAAAAAAAGUUUGAUAAAAAACAUUGUAGAGGGAAGCAUCAAAAAGAUUGGAAGGAAUAGGUUGUCUUUACAAUUUAAAACAUUUCAGGAUGCUAACACAUUUCUAGAUCACAAAUCUCUUGAUGUUAAUAAAUACAAAGCAUUUAUUCCGGCCUUCACUAUCACCCGCAUGGGAAUUGUGAGAGGUGUGCCAUGUGACUGGGAUGAGAAAGAUAUUAUAGAAAAUAUUGAGCUUCCGCAGAACUGUGGAAGCAUUUUGAAAGUUCGGAGAUUAAACCGAAAGGUAUAUGAUGGAGAGACACCCAAGUUCAUUCCAACUGAGACCGUAGUUUUAACCUUUGACGGGAAGGUGUUACCUCCCAGGGUCUUUAUAUGUUUCAAUUCCUUAUCUGUAGAGCUUUAUAUUUUCCCCACGCUGCAAUGUUUUAAUUGUUGCCGUUUUGGUCACACCAAAAUGCAAUGCAGAGGCACUCCAAGGUGUUACAAAUGUGGUGACAACCACUCAGGUAUAAGCUGUGAGACUGAAAGGAAUGAUGCUGUCUGUAUCUUAUGUUCUGGUUCCCAUUUCGCAACCGACAAAAAGUGCCCGGAGUAUGCUAGACAAAAAGCUAUUAAGGAAACAAUGGCUAGAAACUCUAUAUCUUAUUCAGAAGCCAGUAAAGUCCAUCCACCAGUUUCGAAAUCUUAUGCUGACGUUCUUGCUUCUGCUUCAUCGGCCCCUACUGGUCCAACUAUUACUUAUUCCAACCCCAAUAAUUUAACAAGCCUUUCUAAGAGUCCCACACAGUCAUAUAGGAAAACAGUAUUCUUGAAACCCAAAGUUCGUCCCAGAAAUUCUAGUAAGGGAUAUGAUCAAAAAGCGCAUGCAGAUCUUAUCCAAGAUUACAGCAACAUUUCUUCCUUUUCUACAGGUUGUCUCAAAAAUUACAAUGAUUUGUCAGAAAUAAUAACAAAGGAUCUCAUCAUUUCUAUCAUUCAGUACCUUUCACAAUCUAAUAUAAUUAAAAUACCGUCCAACGAUGCUGCUACUUUGAAAAGUUUUUUAAAUCAUGGCCAGUCAGGACCAUCCACAAAACCAGUCUCUAGUGAUUCAGUGGAAUUGCCGGAGUAUUAAUAGUAAAAAAAGUGACCUAAUUUAUUUAUUGAAUAGUUACAAACCAUUUGCAGUCUCUCUUCAAGAGACUUGGCUUCGUCCCGGAUUCAAUUUUAGAAUUCCAGGACAUAUCUGUCUUAGAGAAGACAGAACAGAUGGGUAUGGUGGAGUUGCACUAAUUCUUAGAGGAGGUGUGCCCUUUGUCCACAUACCCAUCCCUAAUCACAGUGAUAAAUUUUCCAUUAUUGCUGCUAGUGUAAAUAAUAUUUGUUUUGUAAAUAUGUAUAUACCUCACCCUUCCACUGAAGUCUUUGAUGAUAUUUGUAGCAUUCUAUCUUCACUCCCGCGCCCUAUUUUAGUCAUGGGAGAUUUCAAUGCACAACAUUCUAUGUGGGGAAGUUCUAAGUCUGAUCAUUAUGGGGCUAGAAUCUUAGACAUCUUAGAUGAUAAUAAUUUAUGCCUUCUAAACUCUGGCUGUUCUACUAGAAGGUCACAGCCCCAUGAGGGUAUUAGUGCACCAGACCUAACCCUGUGUAGUCCCUCCCUUGCCCCUACAUUAAACUGGUGGCCUCUAUCGUCUUCAUAUGGAAGUGAUCACUUUCCACUAAUUGUAUCAUUUCCUCAAAAAAUUAGCGAAAAGUUGUCAAAGUCUCCUUCCCGGUUAAAAUAUAAACUUAAGGAUGCUAACUGGUCAUUAUAUAGAGAUAAAGUUCAACAAAAUUUAUCAACCAUACCUCCACUAAAUGAUAGCAAUAAUCAUCUUUGUAAUGAAGCUUUUACACAGGCCCUACUACAGGCUGCUGAGGAAGUUUUUCCUAUUAAAAAUAAUAAUGGCAAUGGGUAUAUUCCAUCACCUCCUUGGUGGGACAGUGCGUGUUCUGCUGCGAUAGCUGAGAGAAAGAUAGCUGAAAAAAAUUACAGAGAAAAUUCUACAUCACAAAAUUUUAAUGUUCUUUGUAAUAUUAUAACUAAAACACGUAAAUUAUUAAAACAAAAAAGAUUCAAUGGCUGGAAAUCUUUUUGUGCCUCAAUUUCACCAGACAUUUCUCCAUCUGAAGUUUGGCAAAAUAUUCGUAGAUUCAGAUCCUCUUUUAAACCUCCAAGGUCUCCUCUUAUGGAUAGCAGUACAGUUGAUUUGUUUCUUGACAGAUUAGCUCCACCAUUUGUCCCAUCUAUAGAUAAUAUGUCUUCUAACUCACAGCUUUCUCUCCUCCCCCAGCAUGAUAGUAGCAAUUCAUUCAUUUCCUUUAGCCUUUCAGAACUCAAAGGGGUUCUUUCAAAACUAAGGGACUCAGCCCCUGGUUGUGAUGGAAUUCCAUAUUCCUUUUUUCAAAACCUGAAUGAUUCCUGCCUUUCUUAUUUUCUCAGUUUAAUUAAUUCAAUCUUAACAUCAGGUAAUAUUCCUCCAUCAUGGAAAAUCCAUGAAGUUAUCCCAAUACACAAGCCCAACAAACCGAUUAAUGAUCCAUCAUCAUACAGACCAAUUGCAUUAGCUCCAGUUAUGUCCAAAAUUUCUGAACAUUUAAUUAAAACUAGACUAGAAUGGUUUAUUGAGAGUAAGGGGUUACUAUCACCAAACCAGUUUGGAUUUAGGAAAGGCAGGAGUACAAUGGAUAGUCUCAGUAUUUUUAUGACAGACUUAAGAUUGGCAUUUUCUUACAAUAAGUCUGUGUUAGCGGCAUUCUUAGAUGUGUCGGCAGCCUAUGAUAAUGUCAACCUUUCAAUUCUGAAACAAAAAAUGACUAAUUUGAAUAUCCCACAAAUUUUUAUAAGCUUCACAAUCAAUCUUCUCUCUGGUAGAAUGCUUAAAGUAAUAUCAGGAGACUCCUACCAAUCCCGUAUUGCCUGGAAAGGUUUACCUCAGGGCUCAGUUUUAAGUCCUUUACUUUACAAUAUAUAUUCUCAUGAUCUGGAAGCCUCCCUUAAGGGUAAAGUUAACACACUCCAAUAUGCAGAUGAUUUACUCCUCUAUGUGUCUGGUGAUUCUGUAGACAACAUGUCUGAUACUAUGACACAUUCCCUUAAGUUAUUAAAAGUCUGGCUUGACAAUAACACUUUAAGCCUUUCGGUUCCUAAAAGUAUUAUAGUCUUAUUCUCACGUAUGAGACUUCCUCCAGCAGUAUCUGUAUUUUAUAAUAACAUUAGAAUUCCCACUAAAAGUGAAGCAACAUUUCUUGGGGUAAUUUUAGACUCAAGACUUACAGGAAGCCCUCAUUGCUACUAUAUAAGUGCCAAAUGUGAGAAGAUUAUAAACAUACUGCGUUGUCUCUCUGGAGUUUGGUGGGGAGCCCAUCCUUUCUCUCUAAAGCUUCUAUAUAAUGCUCUAAUAAGAAGCAUUUUAGACUAUGGAACAUUUAUACUUGAACCCUGUAAUGCAGUAGCUCUCCAUAAGUUAGACAUUAUCCAGUCUAAGGCUCUGAGAAUAAUUGCGGGAGCUAUGCGGUCGAGCCCUAUUAACGCUUUGCAGGUGGAAUGUUCUGAAGCCCCCCUGCACCUCAGACGUCAAUUUCUUUGUGACAGGUUCCUGUUUAGAGCAUUUCAAGUUUAUACUCAUCCUCUUUACUAUAAGUUACGGUCUCUGUUGGAAUGUAUGGAUUAUUCGUACUGGGCUCAUAAAUCGCCGCCAUGCCUUAUUGUUAGUCUCCAAAAAUACUUAGCUCUUCAAGCUCCAACACAUAGAUCACAAUUUCUUCCUAUAUUUUGUGUUAACUAUGAUGCAUUAAUUUUAAAUCCAUCUAUUUUGUUUGACUUUGGUGUUUGUAAACAAGAUCCUUCUGCCAAUGCCAAAUUUAUGGAUAUUAUUGACAGUGACAGCCGAUGGAAACAUUGCCAUUUAGUUUUUAGUGAUUCUUCCAAACCCGGUCCUGAGAAGUGUGUGGGAGUUGGCAUUUUUCAUCAACAGUUUGGCAUUGUACAGAAAAUAAAAUUGCCUCCAGAGACUUCAGUAUUUACUGGAGAAUGUUUUGGUCUGCUGAAGUCUCUGGAAUACAUUUUAAUCAUGAAAUUAAAAAACACAAUAAUUUUUACCGACGCUAAAAGUGCCCUACAAGCCUUGGACAGAUUUCCUUUUAGCAGUAACAAUCAUCCAGUCAUUAUUGCAUGUCGUGAUUUAUUGUAUCAAUGUUGUAGCAAAAAUUACACAGUUUCCUUUGCUUGGAUUCCGGGGCACUCAGGAAUCUUUGGCAAUACCAAGGCUGAUAGCCUUGCCAAAGCUGCGGUCAAUGACGGAGAUCUGGUUCCGUACCAAAACUUUUGUUGUGAUUUGGCCCUCCUUCCUAAAUCCCAGUUAUUCAACUCUUGGACACAUAUGUGGCUUUCUUCAAGUCAGACUAAAGGUCGAUAUUACAGCACGAUCCAGGUGGAUAUACCUCCUAAACCGUGGUUUUCAAAUCUGACGUUUGGUAAAGCUACCACUUCGACUCUUAUUCGUAUGAGGCUGGGCCAUGCAUGCAUUCCCUUGCAUCUGGCAAGGCUUAACCUUUUGCCUAGUGAUAUAUGUGAGUGUGGUAAUGACGUUGGGGAUUUUAAUCAUAUAUUCUUUGCCUGUCCUCGACAUGACCGUUCCGCUUUUAUUUCCUCGCUUUUGUACAUUAAAAUUCCUUUUCCUACUUCAAUUUCUGUCCUUUUAUCUAAUAUAAAUAUUGAUGUAUAUAGAAUUUUAGCUAGUUUUAUUUUUCUUAACGAUAUAAAAUUAUAACCAUUUAUGUACUUAUAUACUAAAUUUACCUGAUCCUUUUCCAAAUUCCGUUCCAAUUCUCAAUCCAAUGACACACUUCCUCACCUUUUUGUAUGGCUGACGCACAAACCGUGCAGGCCAAUAAAUGGCGCAAAAAAAAAAAAAAGAAAAUAUACAUUACAAACAUUGUAAAUUUGUAUUAGAUUGAAUAGAUAUUAGAUUUAAAUAUUAUUAUUCUUGGUUCAAUAACUCUAGUUAUUAUUUAUUCAGUAUUUAGUUAAUGAUUUUACUGUUUGUUAGUUUAAAAACUACAGUAUUUGGUAUUAGAUGUCCAAAAUGUGGGGUGAUUCCUUACUUAUCGUAUUUAUUUCAAUUUGUACAGCAUUGUUGGGAGAAGGGUUGACAUGGCUUUUAGUUUACCGAACAGAAAAAUAUCAAAAGCUAAAAGUGGAAGUAGAACGGCAGAGUAUUAAAUUGGAGAAGCGUAUGGAGGAGUAUGGAGAUUCAAUUGAUAUGAAACAUUCUAUGAAGAAAAUUGAACGUGAAGAAAAAAGACUUAAAAAUUUGAA